rnacentral:rRNA from 1 species
UACGUAGGGUGCGAGCGUUGUCCGGAAUUACUGGGCGUAAAGAGUUCGUAGGCGGUUUGUCGCGUCGUUCGUGAAAACUUGGGGCUUAACUGCAAGCGUGCGGGCGAUACGGGCAGACUUGAGUACUACAGGGGAGACUGGAAUUCCUGGUGUAGCGGUGAAAUGCGCAGAUAUCAGGAGGAACACCGGUGGCGAAGGCGGGUCUCUGGGUAGUAACUGACGCUGAGGAACGAAAGCGUGGGUAGCGAACAGG